rnacentral:lncRNA from 1 species
GAGGGAGGUGAGAUACAAGGACAUUAGAAAGAUCGAAAAGGGAGUUAGGCGUCAUUUCCAUGAUGAUAUUACUGUGAUUGUGAUCUAUCUGGAUCACGAUCAUCAUAAAAGGCCUAAACACAAGCAAGGGUCUAUUGGGAGCAUAAGUGCCCCUGUUGACAUCUUCUCCUAUAAUUCAGAUGAAGUGGAGGAAAAUCCAGUUGACAAGAUUUUCGCCAACGAGGAGUCUCGGCAUAUGUUGGCAGUAUCCUAAAUAGAAUUAUCCCGGUGUUGAAACCGAAAAAUUGGUAUUUUUGUAUACAGGUUUGCUGUAAAUAAAACUUAUAGUUGAUUGUUUGAUGCUGAGAUGAAAAAGCAAGGUUUUGCAAAAGAAUCCAUCAGAAAAUAACUAAUUUUUUUGUUCUUUGAAUGUUAUUUUACUUUGGGUUGAGCUAGCAGAUUGCAUUUGUGAAGCCUGGUGUUGGAUAUAUAGGCCUUGACUCUAAGCAGGGUAGACGAUCGCUUAAGGCUCCCUUUGGUGUGGGCCCCAAAUUAUGU